CGGAGUGUAAGCCAGCGGUCAGACGGCCUGCUUUGGGAGCAGGCAGACGGGAGUUCGAAUCUCUCCACUCCGACCA
rnacentral:tRNA from 2 species